UUCUUUCAAAAAUAGGACGAACGUGGCGAACAUCAACGAGCAGCUUGGAUUCGGAGAAAACAAAUCAUUAUUUUAUUCAGUUCAUCUGGUAAAACAUUGUUAGGUCAGUAAGUCCCGUAAACGAAUUAAAUUUCAGUGAAAAAUAACAGAUUCACGAAAUCGUUAUGUAUUUAAUGAAGUCAAUUGAUUUUUAAAUUCUAGAACGAAAUGAUGAAAAGAAAACAAACCCAACAUUUUGUUGGUUGUCAAGUUUCAAAUGAAUCAUCCGAAUCCGAAUUGGAUUCGUCGUAAACACCUAUUAUCCUGUACAUUGUUUAUUGUUUAUUUUUACUUCUAUUCACGUUUGUAUACUAAUUAAAAAUUUAUAUUUAAUUUUGUUUUUAAUUGCUAUAAUUACC